AGUCGAGGGGCAGCAUGAACUUAGCUUGCUAAGUUUGAUGGCGACCGGCGCACGGGUGAGUAACACGUAUCCAACCUUCCGUUUACUCAGGGAUAGCCUUUCGAAAGAAAGAUUAAUACCUGAUAGUAUGGUGAGAUUGCAUGAUAGCACCAUUAAAGAUUUAUUGGUAAACGAUGGGGAUGCGUUCCAUUAGGUAGUAGGCGGGGUAACGGCCCACCUAGCCGACGAUGGAUAGGGGUUCUGAGAGGAAGGUCCCCCACAUUGGAACUGAGACACGGUCCAAACUCCUACGGGAGGCAGCAGUGAGGAAUAUUGGUCAAUGGGCGAGAGCCUGAACCAGCCAAGUAGCGUGAAGGAUGAAGGUCCUACGGAUUGUAAACUUCUUUUAUACGGGAAUAAAGUAUCCUACGUGUAGGAUUUUGUAUGUACCGUAUGAAUAAGCAUCGGCUAACUCCGUGCCAGCAGCCGCGGUAAUACGGAGGAUGCGAGCGUUAUCCGGAUUUAUUGGGUUUAAAGGGAGCGCAGACGGGAGAUUAAGUCAGUUGUGAAAGUUUGCGGCUCAACCGUAAAAUUGCAGUUGAUACUGGUUUCCUUGAGUGCAGUUGAGGCAGGCGGAAUUCGUGGUGUAGCGGUGAAAUGCUUAGAUAUCACGAA
rnacentral:rRNA from 1 species